GCUGCUCACUUUAUCUUGGUCACAUAUUAUCAGAAACAUUCACCUUACAUAAAUGAAUCAUGCAUGAGAGUGAAUAGAUUAUUUCUACAGCGGCACUGAAAGCUGAAAAUGCUUCAUCCACACUGACAGAUGUUCAUAUAAAGUCAAAGACUAGUGUCUUAUCAGUCUGCAAAACAUAAACAAAAAUAUUUUACAAUUAAUCAAUAUGAACAAUUAAUCAUUAAAUGUUUCAACAACAUUCUGAAAGUAAAAUCUUAUAUGUAGAGUUUAUUAGUUUGUUAUCAGCACACACUGUUGUAAAUCCUGCCCACUUCUUUGCAUUGUCACACAUGCUUCAGUGCUCUGAGAGUGUUUAUAGUGCUGUGAGUUUAACACUUCAUGACUGAGAGCAGAACAGAACACAAUCUUCAUCAUCACACAAGACAAAAGAACAACAAUGAACAAAAUCACCUUCUUCAUCUGGACUCUCACACUGAUCGCUCAAGAGUGUAGAGGACAGUACACUGUAACUCAGACUCCAUCGAUACUAACAGCUCAACCAGGACAAGAAGUCAGAAUAAAUUGUAAAACCAGCAGUGCAGUGUGUGGUAGUAGUUACCUACACUGGUACUUACAGAAACCUGGAGAAGCUCCUAAACUCCUCAUAUAUGAAGCAACAAGCCGUUAUACUGGAACUCCAUCUAGAUUCAGUGGCAGUGGAUCUGACAGUGAUUUCACUCUGACCAUCAGUGGAGUCCAGACUGAAGAUACAGGAGAUUAUUAUUGUCAGAGUGAACACUGUCCUAGUGGUUAUGUGUUCACACAGUGAUAAAGAGUGGUACAAAAACCUCGGUCAGUCAGACGUCACAGUGAUGCACUGAUACAGCUGAGAGAUACUGCAGCUGCUGAUGGAGGAUCACAAACAACACAACGUUUUAUCAAACCUUUCAGAAAGUUUAUUUAUUUUGAUGUACUAAUCAUGUAACACAAUCUUUAUAUUAUAUAAAUGUUAGUGGUGCUUGGCACUGCGAAACUUGCCACAACAAUGUAAUCGAACUGCAGGAAAAUCAGUCACUUUAAUUGCACUUCCAUGCUUCAUCACUAGAUGGCGUGUCUGUUACAUAACUGAGUUCUCUAUCUGUCAGUCAUUUUGACGUUGUGUCGAUGUGAUGACACUAGUGUAGUGUUUCUCAACCUUUUUUACUCGAUGGCCUCCUCCUUCACCAGAUCAAUACUGCAGUGCCCCCCUAAGAUGCCUAACAUUUCCUCUUAUACUGAACUUCCACAGCAAAGAGAGAAAAGUGUUUGUAUUUAAGCCUUUUUAUUAACAAAACAUUUGUCAAAAUGACCUCUGCUUCCCCGUCGACAUACAGCAUGAGCGCAAAUGCUUAAAGGGGAAACAAUAAAUCUUCUUAUGGUGUCCCAGUAAUUGUUCCCGAUUAAACCACUGAAAAUAGAACAUUACAUACAAGUUUUGCUGAAAUUAACUCAAUUAUAGAAUUGUUUCUUUAUUCCUCUAUGGCAUGGUGUCGCCCUCAGGAAACAUAAAAAGUUUUUGGACUUCACAGCGGAUCUAUAUAUGACACGUCUGUUCAAUGAAAUGAGGGGCUGAAGUGGGUGCAGCCUUUUCUCUAUAUCCACAUUUCAUGAUGGAUAUAUUAUCAGGGACCCCCAAGGGUUAAAUAAAAACAAACAAAACAAGCCCUAUAAUUUAAUAAAAUAACACAUAUUAUGAAGACACUUCAUAUUUAAUGGUAUUAGAUGAUUUGAUAGUUGCAUAAUAGAUUACAACUUCAAUAAAACAUUUGCAUUUUG